rnacentral:rRNA from 1 species
AUGGGGGGCACCCUGAUCCGCAUGCCGCGUGUGUGAAGAAGGCCUGCGGGUUGUAAAGCUCUUUCGGCGGGGACGAUGAUGACGGUACCCGCAGAAGAAGCCCCGGCUAACUUCGUGCCAGCAGCCGCGGUAAUACGAAGGGGGCAAGCGUUGUUCGGAAUUACUGGGCGUAAAGGGCGCGCAGGCGGCCGACGUAGUCAGGCGUGAAAGCCCCGGGCUUAACCUGGGAAUUGCGUUUGAUACUGGUUGGCUAGAGUUCGGGAGAGGAUGGUGGAAUUCCCAGUGUAGAGGUGAAAUUCGUAGAUAUUGGGAAGAACACCGGUGGCGAAGGCGGCCAUCUGGACCGCAACUGACGCUGAGGCGCGAAAGCGUGGGGAGCAAACAGGAUUAGAUACCCUGGUAGUCCACGCUGUAAACGAUGUGUGCUAGACGUUGGCGGGCCUAGCCUGUCAGUGUCGCAGCUAACGCGUUAAGCACACCGCCUGGGGAGUACGGCCGCAAGGUUAAAACUCAAAGGA